CUGGCGGCAGGCCUAACACAUGCAAGUCGAACGGUAACAGAAAGCAGCUUGCUGCUUUGCUGCCGAGUGGCGGACGGGUGAGUAAUGUCUGGGAAACUGCCCGAUGGAGGGGGAUAACUACUGGAAACGGUAGCUAAUACCGCAUAACGUCGCAAGACCAAAGAGGGGGACCUUCGGGCCUCUUGCCAUCGGAUGUGCCCAGAUGGGAUUAGCUAGUAGGUGGGGUAACGGCUCACCUAGGCGACGAUCCCUAGCUGGUCUGAGAGGAUGACCAGCCACACUGGAACUGAGACACGGUCCAGACUCCUACGGGAGGCAGCAGUGGGGAAUAUUGCACAAUGGGCGCAAGCCUGAUGCAGCCAUGCCGCGUGUAUGAAGAAGGCCUUCGGGUUGUAAAGUACUUUCAGCGGGGAGGAAGGGAGUAAAGUUAAUACCUUUGCUCAUUGACGUUACCCGCAGAAGAAGCACCGGCUAACUCCGUGCCAGCAGCCGCGGUAAUACGGAGGGUGCAAGCGUUAAUCGGAAUUACUGGGCGUAAAGCGCACCCAGGCGGUUUGUUAAGUCAGAUGUGAAAUCCCCGGUCUCAACCUGGGAACUGCCUCUGAUACUGGCAAGCUUGAGUCUCGUAGAGGGGGGUAGAAUUCCCGGUGUAGCCGUGAAAUGCGUAGAGAUUCUGGAUGAAUACCGGUGGCGAAGGCGGCCCCCUGGACGAAGACUGACGCUCAGGUGCGAAAGCGUGGGGAGCAAACAGGAUUAGAUACCCUGGUAGUCCACGCCGUAAACGAUGUCGACUUGGAGGUUGUGCCCUUGAGGCGUGGCUUCCGGAGCUAACGCGUUAAGCCGACCGCCUGGGGAGUACGGCCGCAAGGUUAAAACUCAAAUGAAUUGACGGGGGCCCGCACAAGCGGUGGAGCAUGUGGUUUAAUUCGAUGCAACGCGAAGAACCUUACCUGGUCUUGACAUCCACGGAAGUUUUCAGAGAUGAGAAUGUGCCUUCGGGAACCGUGAGACAGGUGCUGCAUGGCUGUCGUCAGCUCGUGUUGUGAAAUGUUGGGUUAAGUCCCGCAACGAGCGCAACCCUUAUCCUUUGUUGCCAGCGGUCCGGCCGGGAACUCAAAGGAGACUGCCAGUGAUAAACUGGAGGAAGGUGGGGAUGACGUCAAGUCAUCAUGGCCCUUACGACCAGGGCUACACACGUGCUACAAUGGCGCAUACAAAGAGAAGCGACCUCGCGAGAGCAAGCGGACCUCAUAAAGUGCGUCGUAGUCCGGAUUGGAGUCUGCAACUCGACUCCAUGAAGUCGGAAUCGCUAGUAAUCGUGGAUCAGAAUGCCACGGUGAAUACGUUCCCGGGCCUUGUACACACCGCCCGUCACACCAUGGGAGUGGGUUGCAAAAGAAGUAGGUAGCUUAACCUUCGGGAGGGCGCUUACCACUUUGUGAUUA
rnacentral:rRNA from 1 species